AUUGAACGCUGGCGGCAUGCCUUACACAUGCAAGUCGAACGGUAACAGGUCUUCGGAUGCUGACGAGUGGCGAACGGGUGAGUAAUACAUCGGAACGUGCCUAGUAGUGGGGGAUAACUACUCGAAAGAGUGGCUAAUACCGCAUGAGAUCUACGGAUGAAAGCAGGGGAUCGCAAGACCUUGUGCUACUAGAGCGGCCGAUGGCAAAUUAGGUAGUUGGUGGGAUAAAAGCUUACCAAGCCGACGAUCUGUAGCUGGUCUGAGAAGACGAUCAGCCACACUGGGACUGAGACACGGCCCAGACUCCUACGGGAGGCAGCAGUGGGGAAUUUUGGACAAUGGGCGCAAGCCUGAUCCAGCAAUGCCGCGUGCAGGAUGAAGGCCUUCGGGUUGUAAACUGCUUUUGUACGGAACGAAAAGCCCUGGGUUAAUACCCUGGGGUCAUGACGGUACCGUAAGAAUAAGCACCGGCUAACUACGUGCCAGCCGCCGCAGUAAGAC
rnacentral:rRNA from 1 species